AAGUAUGUAAAGAAGCUAAAUUUUUAAACCCGGUCACUUAUAUACAUUUUACGCAAAAUGUUACUGUUUUUUUUCAUGUAUCGUACAAGAAUCAUAAGAUCGGUCAUGCAAGUUGAAAUAACAUAUUUGGAUAUGUUCUAAAUUCACUUAACUUAUGGAAAGAGAAAUUUGAACUCGAAUGUUCAAGAUUUCUUUGCAUAAGCAAAUAUCAUAAGAUCGACCGUGCAAGUCGAAACAACAUAUUUUACAAGUAUGAUUAAUAUAAAAAUCAAUGAACAAACUAUAUCUAAAACUAAAAUACAGAGUUGACAACACAUUUUAUAAUUUAAUAGAAAACUAUCAGAAAUCAAAACAUGUUGGUAUCGACAUAAGUUAGGUGCACACUUUGAAAAAAAGAUUAUAUCGAAAAUUAUAAUCUUUAUAUUUUCAAUUUUAACUUUGAUCUUUAUAUUACGACCAUGGGAUUUUUAUCAAACGGCACAUUCCGAGAUCGCAUACAUAAAAAAUCGUAAAAAACAAACAUUCAGACAUUACGUAAUGGAACAAAAGUUUUCGACGGUUAUAAACAAAAAAUCACAAUUUAACGGUUAUUUUAGCUCCGAUUUUGAUGAUUUUUUACAGAUACACUCCUCGACCCUAUAAGAAUGUAAUGAAUAAAUUUGAUCUUUAAUUUAAAGUAUUUACACUAGUAGAUACCACAAAAACUUAUUUUAUACUUAAUAGAAGUAUAAUAUUAACUCUAAGUGUUUGUUUAAUCUACUGUUUUGACGCAAUAUGCAUUCUACGAAACUUUGUUCAACGAUCCAACCGUCAAACUUAUUUGUACACAUUCCGAGAUCGCAUACAUAAAAAAUCGUAAAAAACAAACAUUCAGACAUUACGUAACGGAACAAAAGUUUUCGACGGUUAUAAACGAAAAAUCACAAUUUAACGGUUAUUUUAGCUCCGAUUUUGAUGAUUUUUUACAGAUACACUCCUCGACCCUAUAAGAAUGUAAUGAAUAAAUUUGAUCUUUAAUUUAAAGUAUUUACUUUUUUUAUAUAUGAGUGAUUGUAUAUAUAUUUUUUUACAUUUUUUACACUUCUACAAUAAUUAUUAUUAAUUUU
rnacentral:lncRNA from 1 species